rnacentral:rRNA from 1 species
CCUACGGGGGGCAGCAGUGGGGAAUAUUGCACAAUGGGCGAAAGCCUGAUGCAGCAACGCCGCGUGAGCGAUGAAGGCCUUCGGGUCGUAAAGCUCUGUCCUCAAGGAAGAUCAUGACGGUACUCGAGGAGGAAGCCCCGGCUAACUACGUGCCAGCAGCCGCGGUAAUACGUAGGGGGCUAGCGUUAUCCGGAAUUACUGGGCGUAAAGGGUGCGUAGGUGGUUUCUUAAGUCAGAGGUGAAAGGGUACGGCUCAACCGUAGUAAGCCUUUGAAACUGUGGAACUUGAGUGCAGGAGAGGAGAGUGGAAUUCCUAGUGUAGCGGUGAAAUGCGUAGAUAUUAGGAGGAACACCAGUUGCGAAGGCGGCUCGCUGGACUGUAACUGACGCUGAGGCACGAAAGCGUGGGGAGCAAACAGGAUUAGAUACCCCAGUAGUC